UGGUGGAGUGAUUUGUCUGCUUAAUUGCGAUAACGAACGAGACCUUAACCUGCUAAAUAGCUAGGCUAGCUUUGGCUGGUCGCCGGCUUCUUAGAGGGACUAUCGGCUCAAGCCGAUGGAAGUUUGAGGCAAUAACA
rnacentral:rRNA from 1 species